AAAGCGUGCGCAGGCGGUUUUGUAAGACAGACGUGAAAUCCCCGGGCUCAACCUGGGAACUGCGUUUGUGACUGCAAGACUAGAGUGUGGCAGAGGGGGGUAGAAUUCCACGUGUAGCAGUGAAAUGCGUAGAGAUGUGGAGGAAUACCGAUGGCGAAGGCAGCCCCCUGGGCUAACACUGACGCUCAUGCACGAAAGCGUGGGGAGCAAACAGGAUUAGAUACCCGGGU
rnacentral:rRNA from 1 species